rnacentral:rRNA from 1 species
UACGAAGGGGGCUAGCGUUGCUCGGAAUGACUGGGCGUAAAGGGCGCGUAGGCGGUUUGUCAAGUCAGGUGUGAAAUUCCCGGGCUCAACCUGGGGGCGGCACUUGAGACGUAGGAACUGGAGUGAGGAAGAGGGUCGUGGAAUUCCCAGUGUAGAGGUGAAAUUCGUAGAUAUUGGGAAGAACACCGGUGGCGAAGGCGGCGACCUGGGCCUUUUACUGACGCUGAGGCGCGAAAGCGUGGGGAGCAAACAGG